rnacentral:lncRNA from 1 species
UGGUGUUUGGCAUAUUGUAGGAGAGGGGACAUCUUGCUACAAGUCUUGCUGUGUUUGUUGCCUAUAGUUUGGUUAAAGGUUAGAGAGGAGAUUUAUAUUUUUGAGGACGAAGACUCCGAGGAGAAGACCGUAGGCGUGACGCAAAUCCUUGAAGCUUCUUCCAGAGAGAAGAAGAUGCAGCGGAAUUUUGAACAAUCUCUAGAUUGAGAGAGAAAUCAAAAGAACAAACCAGAUUUGAGAAGAACAGACUGAAUCUGAGAAAGGAACUCAGAGAUCAGUAACCUAGACCAGAGAAACCCUAGAAAUGAGAGAAAUCACAAAACUGACCGAUUAAUCGGUGGAAAUGAUGGAUUAAACGGUAGAAAUCAAAGAACAAAGGGUAGAAAGUGUUUCAAUCGGUGGAAAACGAAGAAAAUGAUGAAACAGAUGUAGAUCGAAGAGUUUAGGGUUUGAGUAAAGGAAAUUUGAGUAGAGAAAGGUGUUUUGUGGUACAAAUGGAGAGGAAAACGAUAUUGAAGAAGUGAAGAAGCUUACGGCUGAUGAAGGAGAGCUCUCGAGAGUGAGAGCGAGCGAGGAAGGAGAUGCUUCUCUGGCUCGAGAAAGAAAAUGAAGUGCAGAUCUGAUGCGCGAAAUGAAAAAUAAGAAGCUAGUGAUGUGUAUAGCUUUUGACGCGUGGACGAAUGGAGACGUGGUAGCUCUGCUGACGCGUGCCACAAAGAUGAAGCAGAGUGGUGGAAAAGUGACGUCGUAGAGGGAGAGAAACACUUGGGAUGGAAAAUGAAAGUGAGGAAGUGUGCCUUGGAAGGUGGCUAGAGGAGGUCUCUUGGACUCUCUAGCCUUGUGACUUUCAAGAGAGAAUGGUUUCUAUUUCAGAAAUCUCAAUUCUCAUUCAUCUCAAAAGUGCCAAAUACAAGUGAGGAGCUGGGUAUUUAUAGUGACCCAAGCUUCUUGCAAGCUAAGCUUGUUAAGUCCCUGGCAAGUGUACCAGAUCGUUAUCAAGUAAUAUAAACGGGUAAGUCCGAGUAUCGUUUUCCCAAAGGACCCUUGAGAAAAGAAUAAUAUUGGUGGUUGUAUGCAAAGAACAAAAAUAAACAUGCAAUGCAAUUGAUUCAAUUGGUUUUUGAGAACUAUGGAUGAAUGGUGUUGUUAGGGUUUACAAUUU